rnacentral:SRP_RNA from 1 species
GCCGGGCGUGGUGGCGGGCGCCUGUAGUCCCAGCUACUCGGAGGCUGAGGCGGGAGAAUGGCGUGAACCCGGGAGGCAGAGCUUGCAGUGAGCCGAGAUCGUGCCACUGCACUUCAGCCUGGGUGACACAGCGAGACUCCGUCUCAA